AGUCACUGACAUUAGAUACCCGGGUAGUCCCAGCCGUAAACUAUGCUCGCUAGGUGUCAGGGACGGUGCGACCGUUUCUGGUGCCGCAGGGAAGCCGUGAAGCGAGCCACCUGGGAAGUACGGUCGCAAGGCUGAAACUUAAAGGAAUUGGCGGGGGAGCACUACAACGGGUGGAGCCUGCGGUUUAAUUGGACUCAACGCCGGAAAUCUUACCGGGACCGACAGCAACAUGAAGGCCAAGCUGAAGACUUUGCCGGAUUAGCUG
rnacentral:rRNA from 1 species